rnacentral:rRNA from 1 species
UACGUAGGGGGCAAGCGUUGUCCGGAUUUAUUGGGCGUAAAGAGCGUGUAGGCGGUUUGGUAGGUCCGCUGUGAAAACUCGAGGCUCAACCUCGAGACGCCGGUGGAAACCAUCAGGCUAGAGUCCGGAAGAGGAGAGUGGAAUUCCUGGUGUAGCGGUGAAAUGCGCAGAUAUCAGGAGGAACACCCGUGGCGAAGGCGGCUCUCUGGAACGGUACUGACGCUGAGACGCGAAAGCGUGGGGAGCGAACAGG